AUUGAACGCUGGCGGCAUGCUUUACACAUGCAAGUCGAACGGUAACAGGCCUUCGGGCGCUGACGAGCGGCGAACGGGUGAGUAAUGCAUCGGAACGUGCCCAGUCGUGGGGGAUAACUAUCCGAAAGGAUAGCUAAUACCGCAUACGAUCUGCGGAUGAAAGCGGGGGACCUUCGGGCCUCGCGCGAUUGGAGCGGCCGAUGUCAGAUUAGGUAGUGGGUGGGGUAAAGGCUCACCAAGCCAACGAUCUGUAGCUGGUCUGAGAGGACGACCAGCCACACUGUGACUGAGACACGGCCCAGACUCCUACGGGAGGCAGCAGUGGAGAAUUUUGGACAAUGGGCGCAAGCCUGAUCCAGCAAUGCCGCGUGCAGGAAGAAGGCCUUCGGGUUGUAAACUGCUUUUGUACGGAACGAAACGGUCCUGGUUAAUACCCGGGGCUAAUGACGGUACCGUAAGAAUAAGCACCGGCUAACUACGUGCCAGCCGCCGCGGUAACAC
rnacentral:rRNA from 1 species